rnacentral:lncRNA from 1 species
AAAUGCCAUAAAUUUUCUCGUACGUAGGAAGGAUGUUGUGCCCCAGGCGCUAGUAGAAAAUUCUAAUUUUCAGUAGAGUUUGUAAUUUCCACGUAAGGCUCUAGAAAAACUGAUGGGGCCAAACCCCACAUGCUUCAGGGUCAGCCAGGAGUAAGCGGACUUGGUGGAAUAUGAGCCAAGGGGAAUAUGGAACCAAAUACGAUAGUCAUCAGGGACAUUAUGAAGAAUGAAUAUUUUGUAUAUUUGGUCCCCCAAGUGUUCACCAUAG